rnacentral:misc_RNA from 1 species
UUUACAACUCCCAAACCCAAUGUUAACCUUACCAAACUGUUGCCUCUACGGGAUCUCUGCCCCGGGUGCGUCGCAGCCCCGGACCAAGGCGCCCGCCGGAGGACCAACCAAAACUCUUUUUGUAUACCCCCUCGCGGGUUUUUUAUAAUCUGAGCCUUCUCGGCGCCUCUCGUAGGCGUUUCGAAAAUGAAUCAAAACUUUCAACAACGGAUCUCUUGGUUCUGGCAUCGAUGAAGAACGCAGCGAAAUGCGAUAAGUAAUGUGAAUUGCAGAAUUCAGUGAAUCAUCGAAUCUUUGAACGCACAUUGCGCCCGCCAGUAUUCUGGCGGGCAUGCCUGUCCGAGCGUCAUUUCAACCCUCGAACCCCUCCGGGGGGUCGGCGUUGGGGAUCGGCCCUCCCUUAGCGGGUGGCCGUCUCCAAAAUACAGUGGCGGUCUCGCCGCAGCCUCUCCUGCGCAGUAUUUUGCACACUCGCAUCGGGAGCGCGGCGCGUCCACAGCCGUUAAACACCCAACUUCUGAAAUGUUGACCUCGAAUCAGGUAGGAAUCCCCGUUUAACUUAAGCAUAUCAAUUAAGCCGGAGGGAAAAAAACAAAAGGGGGAUCCCCCCUUACCGGGGAGGUUGUGUUAUAUUUUCUUCUGCUAAUUUGUUUUCUGGUGUAUUUUUUUGUUAUCUGUUUGGUAUGCAUUAUUGUAUUGUGACUCUAUGUGUGGUAUGAUGAUUCAUAUAUGUUGGGUGUUAAACUAUCCUCACUGUUUGCGUUGUGAGAGGAAUAAAAUAGGUCAAAAGAGUCAAAAGUUGGCGAGGUUGCGUGUGAGGACGGAUUUGCUGUAAAAAGACUAACGGGUGCUUACCUCCGGACUCAGUCAGCUUAGGUGCCAUAGUUGAAAUAGUGUAAGAACUAUAUGUUGUUGGUUCUAUUAUCUUCUAAUGCUCCUUGAAGGCGGGGUGUGAAAACAUGUGUUUUUUUGGUUUAUUGAUUGAAUAGUGCCGAUAACAACAGAAGUUGUUGAAAGGAGCGAACACAUGCUAUCUAUAUCUUUCUCGUCUAAGUAUAAUUUAAGUUAUUAUGGAUUUUAACUGGUAAUGUAGGAUCUGAGAUUUGUGUUGUAUUGUUUUAUACGGUGGUUUUAUAUUCUAAUUGUUACUAUUUAAAUUUAUUUUGUGUGGCGGGGUGGAAACUUGUUUGCUGAUUAGUCUAAUGUAAUUUUCACUGUUAUGAUACAUAACAUUAUGCAUAUGUUUUAGUGACGUAGGUAACAGAAGAAGUUGGGUCUUAG